rnacentral:SRP_RNA from 2 species
GCUGGGCAUGGUGGCACUUGCCUGUAGUCCCAGCUACUUGGGAGGCUGAGGCAGGAGAAUCACUUGAACCCAGGAGGCGGAGGUUGCAGUGAGCUGAGAUUAUGCCACUGCACUCCAGCCUGGGUAACAGAGUGAGACUCUGUCUCAA